UUUAGAGAAUCCCUGAGCAAGUUAAUAAAGCCCCAAAUUAGCAUUCAGGAGGAGCUAGUGCACAAUAAUAUAACUGUAUAAAGA